GAUGAACGCUAGCGGCAGGCCUAAUACAUGCAAGUCAAGGGGAUAGCAAUAUCACCGGCGGACGGGUGCGUAACGCGUACACAACGUGCCCAAGGGCGGAGGAAAGCGGCGGGAAACUGCCGGUAAUACUCCAUGGUGUUGUUGAGUGGCAUCACUUAACAACUAAAGUACAAGCGCCCUUGGACCGGUGUGCGUUCGAUUAGCUAGUUGGCGGGGUAACGGCCCACCAAGGCUUCGAUCGAUAGGGGGUGUGAGAGCAUGACCCCCACACGGGUACUGAGACACGGACCCGACUCCUACGGGAGGCAGCAGUAAGGAAUAUUGGACAAUGGGCGGAAGCCUGAUCCAGCCAUGCCGCGUGAAGGACGAAGGCGCUCAGCGUUGUAAACUUCUUUUGGAUGGGAACAAUAACUCCGACUUGUCGGAACUUGAGGGUACCAUCAGAAUAAGCACCGGCUAACUCCGUG
rnacentral:rRNA from 1 species